rnacentral:rRNA from 1 species
GACGAACGCUGGCGGCGUGCUUAACACAUGCAAGUCGAACGGAAAGGCCCUGCUUUUGUGGGGUGCUCGAGUGGCGAACGGGUGAGUAACACGUGAGUAACCUGCCCUUUACUUUGGGAUAACUUCAGGAAACUGGUGCUAAUACCGGAUAGGAGCUCCUUCUGCAUGGUGGGGGUUGGAAAGUUUCGGCGGUUGGGGAUGUACUCGCGGCUUAUCAGCUUGUUGGUGGGGUAGUGGCUUACCAAGGCUUUGACGGGUAGCCGGCCUGAGAGGGUGACCGGCCACAUUGGGACUGAGAUACGGCCCAGACUCCUACGGGAGGCAGCAGUGGGGAAUAUUGCACAAUGGGCGGAAGCCUGAUGCAGCAAAGCCGCGUGCGGGAUGACGGCCUUCGGGUUGUAAACCGAUUUCGACUGUGACGAAGAGUGAGUGACGGUAAUGGGUAAAGAAGCACCGGCUAACUACGUG